CCUCUGUGAAGUCAUUAAGUUUUGCUGGGGUGGGGAAUGGUGCUGGCUGAGGUUUUGAGGAAGACAUUCAUUUAAGGAAGACUCUUGGGCUGAGGCAGCUGACAAAGAUGAAAAAUCACUGCUGUUGUUUAAAUUACUUUAACAAAUUUUAAAUCUUUCCCAUCCAGGCUGCAAAGGAGGGAUUGGCAUUGACAUUAAUGGGAAGGAGAUAUUGCCAUGGUUUGCCAAAAAUGAGACAGAACAUUUUCUUUCCCCCUGAGGGAUAUGCGUUGGAAACAGGCAAAAGGAGUGAAAAUGGAAGGUGGCUCUUCUCCAGACAUCCAGAGAGAACAUUCUGCCUCAGCUGUGCCUCUCCUCUUUCCAUCCUUCCUAUGAAUUUUAUUUGCUUGCCCAUUGGAGAAAAGGAAUAGCAGAAGGCAGCUGUCCUUUGCUUUUUGAUGUACAACCUGCCCAUGGCAUUUUACAACUUCACGUCUUGCUAAACACAAAACUCCUGAAACCAAGUGCUUUUGGGGUGGUGUGAGAGAUGCUCCUGGUCCUGCUUCCCAAACUGCUCCAAAGCUGCCAUGGACAGCAUGGGGACCAAAGGUACAUUUGAAAACCUCUCAGUGUUUCAGCUCUGCUUGCCAAACGAAUCUUUUCAUGCCUUUUGCUUCCCUUUCUCUAAAGUACAAGUUUUCACUUACAGUCACUGCUAUCCCCUUUUCCUUCUUCUCUUAGCCCAUGCCUGGGAAUGAAGGGAAUGCUGUUGAACAGAGCAAGGAAAUGAAAACAGCAAUAUUUAUCUCGCUCUACUGUGGCUUUCAUUUCCUUCAAAGCCAGGCUGCUUUUUAACCUGCAGUUCUCUUUUUUUAGCCUGAGCUUGUGGUUUUGGGGGCAUCUACUCAAAGUGUUUUUAUUAAGUUCUCAAUUGUCACUUCCUGCAGUGUAAUUCUAUUUUCUCUCACACCUCAUGUUCCUUAAAAUUGGUUUUGGCUUGUGGAACUGUCUCUUAAACACCAACUAAAAUAUACUGUUAUUUAGUGCUGGAAAUGGCUUCUUGUGUUUGGGGACUCUCCUGUAGAAAAUCCUUUUUGUAGAAAUCCUGAGGCUGCCAUCAAACUACAGUUAGUUCCUUGUUCCUCCACUUUGUGCUCAAGGAUGUUCCUGUUGAAGAAACUGAGGGUCAGUUCCUCUUCAUGCUUCAGUUUGUAGGGGCUUUGUUCAAGACAGUGAGUGUCCAGAUUGUUGUCAUCAUGAUUACCUAAGUUUUUUAUAUUUACUGAUAUUACUUCCCUUUUACCCAUUUGCUUCUGGCUCCAGGCAGUGAUUUAACCUUUAAUUCAUGAAGAACAAAAGCAACCAAACCACCUCCCAAACGCUACCAGAUGCAAGUGCUGGUGGCUCACAUGGAUGCAGGCUAACCAAUAU
rnacentral:lncRNA from 1 species